rnacentral:lncRNA from 1 species
CUUUCAAAGUCGGUGUGUGAAACCAUGACUCAUGGAUUUGCAAUUUAUCUUGUUUCGACACCCUAAUUGUGGGAUAUGCAGGGUCAUCUUUCUCGUCCUCCUCAUCGACAGAUUCAUCAUCAAAUAUUUUGAUAAGAUCAUCAGUCAAAUCCCCCAUACAAACAUCCUUCUCAGAAGAACCCUCAACAAUAUCCCAAAACAAAAUCUUGCGCUUCAUGGGCUCACAAGAUGUGCAAUCCACAGGCUGACCCAUCCCAACACUAAAGGAUUCUGCCAACCCAUCCUUCAGUUUCAAUUUUUUCACCAACUGGACUUCUGAAAGCUCUCCUCUCUUUGGCCCCUCCACACAUACAGAAGGGCCUUCACUGAUCGCAUGUAUUACCCUUUCACAAUUUUAAUUUCUUGAAUUUUGGCAGAUGAUUAAUGCAACCAGAUUUUGAAUCUUGAAAUGUGGCAGAUGAUUACAGCACUCAGAGUAAAAACAUCGUUGGCCACCUGAACCUAUGUGCUUAAAAAUUCACGGCAUUUGCAAAUAACAAUGGAGCAGGCCAAUCUGCCCAAGGAGCUACAACUCAUUAUUAUAGAGAAUCCAGCAGCUCACGGCAAUGUGACACGCCCAAGAUAUUCCAGACACACGCUAACGACGCUACAACUCAGGGGCACAUAACCAAGAAUUGCAAUCUUUCUCUUUCUUGAUCUUCUUUAUUUACCUGAUAUCGUCUUACUAUCUACAAUCUUUCCAAUCUGCUCAGGAAAUCGCAAUAUGGCGCUGGAGGAGGUAGAGUUGCUACGGCGGUGCGGUGCGGCGCGGCCAGGAGACCGUAGGUGGCUGAGGGACACACAAUGGUCUCUUCGCCAGGCAAAGAAACCACCAGUCUUUGCGGGGUCGAGAAAGACCAGUCGCGGGGAAGAGAGGACCAGUAUAAACGCGAUGUGGCGCUAGAGAUUACCGAACUGCUAGGGCGGUGCAGCCCGGUGGCCGGGGGUACGUAAAGGCCCUGUCGCGAGGCAAAGGGAAGGAACGCAGAAGAAGCGAGGCAGAGGGAACACAAUGUGGCGCCGGAGACUACUGAACUGCUACGGUGGUGCAGCCUGGUGGCUAAGGGCACACAAAGACCCUGUGGCAAGGCAGAGAGAAGGAUCACGGAAGAAGCGAGGCAGAG